AAAAAAAGCCUGCAGGCAUGUACCUGCAGGCUCCUUCCACAUCCUUAUUUUCAUAAGGAAAGAAGGUAAAGGGAGAGGAGAAACCGGAGGAAGAACUUAUGGGGAAACGUAAGUCUUCUCCGCG
rnacentral:ncRNA from 1 species